GCUGGGGGGGAUGAGUCAGAGCAGGAGCCCGAGCUCAGCCCUGCGCCCGCUGCGUCACUGCCAGGCCAGAAGCUUCUGGAGCCCACCAGAAAUGUGGCACCCCAGGCUCACUGAAUCUACAGCUGUACUCACAAUCCAGAAAAAGGGAGCGCGCGAGAGAGAGGAAAAUACUGAAGUAUUUCUACAGAGUAUUUUGUUCCAGUUGGCUCCCUCCGCGGCAGGAGACAGAGACUGUAAAAGAGGAAGACUGGAAA